GAUGUUGGCUCAGAAGCAGCCAUACAUUCAAAGAGUGCGUAAUAGCUCACUAGUCGAGAGGUCCUGCGCCGAAAAUGAACCGGGGCUAAACACGACACCGAAGCUCAGGAAUCCGAAAGGAUUGGUAGAGGAGCAUUGCUGAAGCGACGAAGCAGUACCGGAAGGAGCUGUGGAGUUUCAGGAAGAGAGAAUGCCGGAAUGAGUAGCGAGAGAAAGGUGAGAAUCCUUUCGGCCGAAUAUCCAAGGUUUCCAGGGUAAAGCUGAUCUGCCCUGGGUAAGUCGGGGCCUAAGGCGAGGCAGAAAUGCGUAGUCGAUGGACAGCAGGUUGAGAUUCCUGCACCCGUAAUGAACAGAACUGUAGUGACACGGAAGGUAAGACAGAGCCGGGAAUGAGAAAACCGGUGCAAGCACAAUAGAUGUGUGGGAGGAAAAACCCCCGCAUAAGUCGAAGGUGUGACGCGGACCGAAAAAGAGUAGGGAAGCUGUUAAGCAAGCCGUCAAGAAAAGCUGCUAUUGUUUCAUUAUGGCCCGUACCGUAAACCGACACAGGUGGAUGGGGAGAGAAUCCUAAGGCCGGCGGAAGAAGUAUUGUUAAGGAACUCGGCAAAAUGACCCCGUAACUUCGGGAGAAGGGGUGCCUGCGAGAGCAGGCCGCAGAGAAGAGGCCCAAGCAACUGUUUAGCAAAAACACAGGUCUAUGCAAAACCGAAAGGUGAGGUAUAUGGGCUGACGCCUGCCCGGUGCUGGAAGGUUAAGGGGAGUGGUCAGGAAACGAAGCCACGAACUUAAGCCCCAGUAAACGGCGGCCGUAACUAUAACGGUCCUAAGGUAGCGAAAUUCCUUGUCGGGUAAGUUCCGACCCGCACGAAAGGCGUAAUGAUUUGGGCGCUGUCUCGACAAUACAUCCGGUGAAAUUGAAGUGCCAGUGAAGAUGCUGGCUACCUGCGCCAGGACGGAAAGACCCCAUGGAGCUUUACUCCAGCUUGAUACUGGGACCCGGUAUUGCAUGUACAGGAUAGGUGGGAGGCUAGGAAAUGUGGACGCCAGUCUGCAUGGAGCCGCCGUUGGGAUACCACCCUUGUGGUGCUGGGUUUCUAACCAGAGGCCGUGAACCGGUCUGGGGACAAUGUCAGGUGGGGAGUUUGACUGGGGCGGUCGCCUCCGAAAGGGUAUCGGAGGCGCCCAAAGGUUCCCUCAGAAUGGUUGGAAACCAUUCGAAGAGUGCAAAGGCAGAAGGGAGCUUGACUGCGACACCGACGGGUGGAGCAGGUACGAAAGUAGGGCUUAGUGAUCCGGUGGAAUUUAAGUGGGAAUGCCAUCGCUCAACGGAUAAAAGCUACCCUGGGGAUAACAGGCUGAUCACUCCCAAGAGUUCACAUCGACGGAGUGGUUUGGCACCUCGAUGUCGGCUCAUCGCAUCCUGGGGCUGUAGCAGGUCCCAAGGGUUGGGCUGUUCGCCCAUUAAAGCGGUACGCGAGCUGGGUUCAGAACGUCGUGAGACAGUUCGGUCCCUAUCCGGCGUGGGCGUAGGAUAUCUGAGAGGAGCUGUCCUUAGUACGAGAGGACCGGGAUGGACUGACCUCUGGUGUACCGGUUGGCGAUCAACGCCACGGCCGGGUAGCCAUGUCGGGACGGGAUAAACGCUGAAGGCAUCUAAGCGUGAAGCCCCCCUCAAGAUGAGAUAUCCCAUCGUAAGAGUAAGACCCCUUGAAGACGACGAGGUUGAUAGGGCAGGGGUGGAAGUGCCGUAAGGCAUGGAGCUGACUGCUACUAAUCGGUCGAGGGCUUGACCAA
rnacentral:rRNA from 1 species